UACUCGAACAACUAAAUUUUAAUAAUUUUUUUUAUCAGAGAUAAAUAUAUUUUUCAGGGAAUAAAAGACCAGACGCAAGUACAAAGAGAGGUAGAUCUCUACAAACAGAUAAAGCUCAAACAAGUAAGUCCAUAGCUAAAACUAGGGCAACAAAAAAAAGGUCCCAAAAAACAACCCAAACCACAGCAACAAAGGUUGAAGCCAAACCCAAUAUAACCCUAACUCUACAUUAAACCCGCAUGAGAGGAAGGAUUCAGCAGUCAGUACAAGUAACAUCGCUCCUCGACAAGCCGAAACUAGAUAAGUCACUCCAAAGAAGAUAAGAAACACUAGGAAUUGACCAACAAGGCUAACAUAAAAGACAAUUCCUUGCAUAAAACUUCUCCAAGAGGUUGAGCUACUAAGGACUCCAAGAGCACCAAAAAACGCAGCCAUGGUCGAAGCAAGAUCUGUACCAAAGGACAUUGAUGAUCAGCAAGGCAAAGUUCUCUAAACUCUAAUGGCCGUUGAGAGGCUGAGUGCCACAAGAGGGGCGUUGGAAAGCGUCUUCAAGAGAUACCAUGCCCAUUAAAAUUUCUGAACCCGCCGAUUUGAAGCCAUGGUCUUGUUUCCAAACAGCGAAAGCACUCCUACCGAAAGACCCCUUUCUCUGCAUGCAACACCUAAAAUGAAACCAAACUAGCAAACACAAGGUAGAUCACAACUAAACCCUCUCCAAGCAGCUCAGGCCUACAACAAAAACCAUAAUCACUAUUAUUUAUACACAAAGGAGGCCGCUUGACGGCAGAUCGACAGAGGUCGAGCGCCUUUGAAAGGCGAACCAUUUGAGAGAAAACUCUCACAAACGGCAACAGGUCG
rnacentral:misc_RNA from 1 species